AGAGCGAACGCUGGCGGCAGGCUUAAUACAUGCAAGUCGAGCGCCUGUAGCAAUGCAGGAGCGGCAGACGGGUGAGUAACGCGUGGGAACGUACCCUUUGGUUCGGAACAACACAGGGAAACUUGUGCUAAUACCGGAUAAGCCCUUACGGGGAAAGAUUUAUCGCCGAAGGAUCGGCCCGCGUCUGAUUAGCUAGUUGGUGAGGUAAUGGCUCACCAAGGCGACGAUCAGUAGCUGGUCUGAGAGGAUGAUCAGCCACACUGGGACUGAGACACGGCCCAGACUCCUACGGGAGGCAGCAGUAGGGAAUAUUGGACAAUGGGGGCAACCCUGAUCCAGCCAUGCCGCGUGAGUGAUGAAGGCCUUAGGGUUGUAAAGCUCUUUUGUGCGGGAAGAUAAUGACGGUACCGCAAGAAUAAGCCCGGCUAACUUCGUGCCAGCAGCCGC
rnacentral:rRNA from 1 species